CCGCAGUCUGCUUUAACCUCACCGCCUGAUCCGACCCAACAGUCUGCUCCGAUUCAGUCCAGAACAACCCAAAAUCCUUCAGAUGGUGACCCCGACGUGAUGAUCUUCGAGCACACAAGGAGCGGUGAGAUUCGACCCAUGAGCAGAGCGGCCGUUCGCAUCCAGAGGGGAAAGGCGCCUUACAUAAAACAGGUAAGCGGGUUACCUAAGUUGGCCGAAAGGCCCAAAAACUCCGCUAUUCGGCCGUAAACCAAAUUGAAGCCUCUGGAUGAGCAUGGUGGGUUCUGUCUCCUGAAAUAAAGGAGGAAUAGCAGCUAAGUGUUAAUAUAAUAACUAGAGGCAUUGAGCACGGAGCUUAAAGUGUGCAGAAUAAUAGGAUAAUAGAGUACAAAUAACAAAGAGAAGCGCUAAGACUAAGGUCAAAGAGAAAAGUGAAGAUAAGAGAUAAAAAA